GCCUGGCUGGCUCAGUUGGUAGAGCUUUUGACUUUUGGUCUCUGGAUCAUGAGUUCAAGCCCCAUGCUGGGUA
rnacentral:tRNA from 1 species